rnacentral:rRNA from 1 species
CCUACGGGAGGCUGCAGUAGGGAAUCUUUCACAAUGGGCGAAAGCCUGAUGGAGCAACGCCGCGUGCAGGAUGAAGGCCUUCGGGUUGUAAACUGCUUUUAUAAGCGAGAAAUAUGAUGGUAACUUAUGAAUAAGGAUCGGCUAACUACGUGCCAGCAGCCGCGGUCAUACGUAGGAUCCGAGCAUUAUCCGGGGUGACUGGGUGUAAAGAGUUGCGUAGGUGGCAUAAUAAGUAGCUAGUGAAAUCUGGUGGCUCAACCAUUCAGACUAUUAGCUAAACUGUUAAGCUCGAGACCGUUAGGGGUAACUGGAAGUUCUAGUGUAGGAGUGAAAUGCGUAGAUAUUAGAAGGAACACCAAUAGCGUAGGCAGGUUACUGGGACGGUUCUGACACUAAGGCACGAAAGCGUAGGGAGCAAACGGGAUUAGAUACCCGGGUAGUC